rnacentral:rRNA from 1 species
AGGGAGCUUGCUCCCGGAUGUUAGCGGCGGACGGGUGAGUAACACGUGGGUAACCUGCCUGUAAGACUGGGAUAACUCCGGGAAACCGGAGCUAAUACCGGAUAGUUCCUUGAACCGCAUGGUUCAAGGAUGAAAGACGGUUUCGGCUGUCACUUACAGAUGGACCCGCGGCGCAUUAGCUAGUUGGUGGGGUAAUGGCUCACCAAGGCGACGAUGCGUAGCCGACCUGAGAGGGUGAUCGGCCACACUGGGACUGAGACACGGCCCAGACUCCUACGGGAGGCAGCAGUAGGGAAUCUUCCGCAAUGGACGAAAGUCUGACGGAGCAACGCCGCGUGAGUGAUGAAGGUUUUCGGAUCGUAAAGCUCUGUUGUUAGGGAAGAACAAGUGCGAGAGUAACUGCUCGCACCUUGACGGUACCUAACCAGAAAGCCACGGCUAACUACGUGCCAGCAGCCGCGGUAAUACGUAGGUGGCAAGCGUUGUCCGGAAUUAUUGGGCGUAAAGGGCUCGCAGGCGGUUUCUUAAGUCUGAUGUGAAAGCCCCCGGCUCAACCGGGGAGGGUCAUUGGAAACUGGGAAACUUGAGUGCAGAAGAGGAGAGUGGAAUUCCACGUGUAGCGGUGAAAUGCGUAGAGAUGUGGAGGAACACCAGUGGCGAAGGCGACUCUCUGGUCUGUAACUGACGCUGAGGAGCGAAAGCGUGGGGAGCGAACAGGAUUAGAUACCCUGGUAGUCCACGCCGUAACGAUGAGUGCUAAGUGUUAGGGGGUUUCCGCCCCUUAGUGCUGCAGCUAACGCAUUAAGCACUCCGC